GUUAAAAUAAGUAAAUUAUUACUAUUCCCCUUUCCAACUCGACCCUCUUUAAGGAGCCUGUUUAACAAAAACAUAGCCUACUAUUUAACUUAGGUACAACCCUGCCCUCUGACUUUAACAGCCGCGGUAUCCUAACCGUGCUAAGGUAGCAUAAUCACUUGCCUAUUAAUUAUAGGCUAGAAUGAACGGGAUCACUCACUUAAACUUAUUUUUAUUUAAAUUUAAAUUAAACUUUAAGUCAAAAUACUAAAUUAAAAAGAAAGACAAAAAGACCCUGAAAACUAUUAGAAAUAAUUAGUUGGGGCAACUAUAGACCACUCUAGCGUCUAUUUUUUUUUAACUCUUAAAAUCUAAAGUAUCCAGUUACUUCAGGGAUAACAGACUAAUUUUAUUAUUUAGACCCAAUAAAUAAUAAAGAUUGGCACCUCGAUGUUGGCUUAUAUUUCCUUCAUAUAGCAACAUAUAUAGAAGGCAGCUUGUUCAUCUGUUAAAUAUUUACAUGAGCUGAGUUCAGACCGGCGUAAGC
rnacentral:rRNA from 1 species